UUAUAAGGAAGCUGCCUUGCGAGGGGAGACUCCCAGCCCAGCGGCUGUGUCAUGUCUUCUCCAACAUCUUUGGGCUUGAAGUAGGAGGGAAAGUCCACAGAGGGUGUCACCUUCACCGGGUCCCUGUGGGGAGGGCUUCCUCCCGGAAGCGCCUCCUCUUCCCUGUCCUUGGGCAGCCCCGUUACGGGGCGCCAUCGCGAAGGAGACGAGGAUCCUGAACAGUAUGGGCUGAUCCAGCUCUACAAAAGGACUCACGCGGCGGACAUACACAUGCACGUCUGCACGGAGAGAGAAGCUGGGAGGCCUCCCCCACGAGGGAAAUGCUCAAGCGUGGUUGCCCUGGAGGACAGAAUGAAGCAGCCAGCUGCCUGCACCUACUAGUAAAUGAAGAGGUCUGGAUUUAAGAGAAGUAAGAAGAUCAGAAGCUGUUUGGACAAGAACAGAAAAAUGGAAGGGCAGAGAUUGUUAUUCGUUGCAAGAAGAAAAUGGUACCUAGGCAGUGGAGAAACCUGACCACACAUUGACCAGGUGAUCAAAGUAGAAUAAGUGAUGGACCUCACCCAACAUCACUUCUGUCUUCUGGCUGUGGCUGCAGAACCUGAACCUAGUCAGUCACAAGGAAACAUCCGAGGAGCCCAAAUUGAGGAACGUUUUAUGAGAUAACUGGAUCUCUGUUCUUCAAAUGCUUCAAUAUCAUAAAAGACAAAGAAAGGCUUAGGACGCUUCCAGAAUCACGAACACAAGAGAGACAUGACAUUGCACUGUUAUAUGUGGUGCUGGACUGGACUGAUUCUGCCCUGGAGUGGGGGAAAUGCUUUGGGGCCUGAUUGGGGGCUUUGGGGCCCCCCGUUGAUUGGAAUAUGGAGUACAGAACAGAAAAAAAAGUUAUUGUAAUAGUAUUAAACUGCUUGAAUUUGAUAACUGUACUUUGGCUACGUAAGAGAAUAUCCUGUUCUUAGGACAUCGACAGUGAGGUAGUAAGAGCUAGGGAGCAUGGAUGUCUCCAGCUACUCUCACAUGGUUCAGAAAAAAUAAAUGUUGCUGCAAUUUUCCUUACAGCAGCC